rnacentral:rRNA from 1 species
GACGAACGCUGGCGGCGUGCCUAAUACAUGCAAGUAGAACGCUGAAGGAGGAGCUUGCUUCUCUGGAUGAGUUGCGAACGGGUGAGUAACGCGUAGGUAACCUGCCUGGUAGCGGGGGAUAACUAUUGGAAACGAUAGCUAAUACCGCAUAAUAGUAGAUGUUGCAUGACAUUUGCUUAAAAGGUGCAAUUGCAUCACUACCAGAUGGACCUGCGUUGUAUUAGCUAGUUAGUGGGGUAACGGCUCACCAAGGCGACGAUACAUAGCCGACCUGAGAGGGUGAUCGGCCACACUGGGACUGAGACACGGCCCAGACUCCUACGGGAGGCAGCAGUAGGGAAUCUUCGGCAAUGGACGGAAGUCUGACCGAGCAACGCCGCGUGAGGGAAGAAGGUUUUCGGAUCGUAAAGCUCUGUUGUAAGAGAAGAACGAGUGUGAGAGUGGAAAGUUCACACUGUGACGGUAUCUUACCAGAAAGGGACGGCUAACUACGUG